GAUGAACGCUGGCGGCGUGCCUAAUACAUGCAAGUCGAGCGAACAGACGAGGAGCUUGCUCCUCUGACGUUAGCGGCGGACGGGUGAGUAACACGUGGAUAACUUACCUAUAAGACUGGGAUAACUUCGGGAAACCGGAGCUAAUACCGGAUAAUAUAUUGAACCGCAUGGUUCAAUAGUGAAAGACGGUUUUGCUGUCACUUAUAGAUGGAUCCGCGCCGCAUUAGCUAGUUGGUAAGGUAACGGCUUACCAAGGCAACGAUGCGUAGCCGACCUGAGAGGGUGAUCGGCCACACUGGAACGGAGACACGGUCCAGACUCCUACGGGAGGCAGCAGUAGGGAAUCUUCCGCAAAGGGCGAAAGCCUGACGGAGCAACGCCGCGUGAGUGAUGAAGGUCUUCGGAUCGUAAAACUCUGUUAUUAGGGAAGAACAAAUGUGUAAGUAACUAUGCACGUCUUGACGGUACCUGAUCAGAAAGCCACGGCUAACUACGUG
rnacentral:rRNA from 1 species